GAUGAACGCUGGCGGCGUGCCUAAUACAUGCAAGUCGAGCGAACGGACGAGAAGCUUGCUUCUCUGAUGUUAGCGGCGGACGGGUGAGUAACACGUGGAUAACCUACCUAUAAGACUGGGAUAACUUCGGGAAACCGGAGCUAAUACCGGAUAAUAUUUUGAACCGCAUGGUUCAAAAGUGAAAGACGGUCUUGCUGUCACUUAUAGAUGGAUCCUCGCUGCAUUAGCUAGUUGGUAAGGUAACGGCUUACCAAGGCAACGAUGCAUAGCCGACCUGAGAGGGUGAUCGGCCACACUAGAACUGAGACACGGUCCAGACUCCUACGGGAGGCAGCAGUAGGGAAUCUUACGCAAUGGGCGAAAGCCUGACGGAGCAACGCCGCGUGAGUGAUGAAGGUCUUCGGAUCGUAAAACUCUGUUAUUAGGGAAGAACAUAUGUGUAAGUAACUGUGCACAUCUUGACGGUACCUAAUCAGAAAGCCACGGCUAACUACGUG
rnacentral:rRNA from 1 species